rnacentral:rRNA from 1 species
GACGAACGCUGGCGGCGUGCUUAACACAUGCAAGUCGAACGGAAAGGCCCUGCUUGCAGGGUACUCGAGUGGCGAACGGGUGAGUAACACGUGGGUGAUCUGCCCUGCACUUCGGGAUAAGCCUGGGAAACUGGGUCUAAUACCGGAUAGGAGCCAUUUUUAGUGUGAUGGUUGGAAAGUUUUUUCGGUGUAGGAUGAGCUCGCGGCCUAUCAGCUUGUUGGUGGGGUAAUGGCCUACCAAGGCGGCGACGGGUAGCCGGCCUGAGAGGGUGGACGGCCACAUUGGGACUGAGAGACGGCCCAGACGCCUACGGGUGGCAGCAGGGGGGAAUAUUGCACAAUGGGCGCCAGCCUGAUGCAGCGACGCCGCGUGGGGGAGGACGGCCUUCGGGUUGUAAACUCCUUUCGCUAGGGACGAAGCUUUUUGUGACGGUACCUAGAUAAGAAGCACCGGCUAACUACGUG